UAUAAUAUUGUCAAAUUAAUUUUAGGCUUAUUUUUAGCUAUGUCCUUUGGUACUUGAUUUUAAUUUUAUUUUGCUCCUUGUAACUCAAAAAUUGACACCAUACUCUCUGAAACUCAAAGUUGCUCCACGUUGGCCCGAAAACUCAAAGUUUUCUCUACCCUGCCUUCCCCGAUUUGCUCCACCGUGGCAAUAGCUUUUGUGCUUUCUUCCACCCCGUAGAACCCACUCUAUUCAGAUUGUCUGGGUCCUGCGAUUUUGUGAUAAUCUUCCAUGGUAUUUCUUAUGUUCUGGGUGCACAGUUUUUUCCAUAUUCCAAUGAUGGCCCUGGAUCGCAUAUGCACUGUUAAUUUUAUUAUUAUUAUUAUUAUUAUUAUUUUAAAUUCUUCCUUAUCCCUUCUCUCUCUUCCCUCUCGCAGUUCUCCCCGGACUCAAGAGAGUCCUAACAGCAACAUUCGAGCUUUGCAUGUUCGAAUUUACCCCUCUAUCGAAGAGUUCAAUAAGCCCAGUUUGCGAUGGGCAUUCCGACGAAGAUGCGAGUUUUUUCUGGCCAACUUCAGGCCUUUCCCACCUUUUUUGGGUCCGGCGAAAGUAAUAGGCAUACAACAGAUUUUUUUUACUUACUUUCAAAAUUAUUUUAUAAGUAAUUUUUGUAUCCGUGAAUUGCUUGAUUCAAAUGUUAUAUCUCAUCUGCA